GGCGAAUUCCCUGCCAAACCGCGUCGAAACCCAGAACGGGCCCGGGUGCAUUCGAACGCGUGAACGCAACAUUCCAGAAACCGCUGCUCUAACAAGGACAGACACUUUGGCCCAUUGACGUCACGCUGCGUCUCUAAUCACUGCAUCACGUUCUGUGCACAUACGUAGAGAGCGCGUGGGAUGCGCGAAAUACCACGCAAGGUUCGAUGCGUUUAAAGGAAACGUGAAUAUCGCCUCGACCAAACGAAAGCAAAUACAAGGAACGCGGGCCGAUCUCGAAGGACGGCACAACAAAAAUCUUCAAUUCCCUCUACGGCACGAAGGAAAGUAAAGCACUUGGAACGAUCUAAGGCUCGAGUUCAGAGCAACAAGAAUGCUUUGGUACAAGCUUUCGCGAAGUAGAACGCUCAAUGAAAGGCAAAUAAUUAACCCGACAUCGAGUUCUGGCUCGUGAUGAUGUCACAAUCCACAAUUAAUCAU
rnacentral:misc_RNA from 1 species